rnacentral:rRNA from 1 species
AGUGAACGCUGGCGGCGUGCCUAAUACAUGCAAGUCGAACGCGUGGCGCCCGGGUGAGUCAUGUCUGGGAAACUACCUGAUGGAGGGGGCUAACUACUGGAAACGGUAGCUAAUACCGCAUACCAUCAGAUGUGCCCAGAUGGGAUUAGCUAGUAGGCGGGGUAAUGGCUCACCUAGGCGACGAUCCCUAGCUGGUCUGAGAGGAUGAACAGCGAAACUGGAACUGAGACACGGUCCAGACUCCUACGGGAGGCAGCAGUGGGGAAUAGUGCACAAUGGGCGCAAGCCUGAUGCAGCCAUGCCGCGUGUGUGAAGAAGGCCUUCGGGUUGUAAAGCACUUUCAGCGAGGAGGCGUUACUCGCAGAAGAAGCACCGGCUAACUCCGUGCCAGCAGCCGCGGUAAUUC